rnacentral:sRNA from 1 species
GCAGCGGCAAAUUCCUCUGCCGGGUUUAGCAGCCUGCAACUUAUUCUUGGUGCUAGAACACGCACCCCAAGCGUGUUUUUU